CUCCCAACAGAUUCUGAUGGUGCUAUCUGCCUGGUGGAGCCCCCUCACACCACAACAGACCUUGUAACUGAUGAAGAGUACGAGGAGACUUUGUCUGCUGCCUUCACAGAGGGGGAACCAGAAAGGCCUGUAGAGGGCAUGGCUGGGCAGCAGCAGGAGGGUCCCUCAACUUCAACUGCACAGAUUGACACAUUAAAGAUAUCUACAAAAUAUUUCUUCUGAAAUAAAUUGAAAAAACCGACAAAGAAAUGCAGUUCUUGGACCGCCAGAUGAGAAGGGCAGAUCUCGAAAUUGAAUUACUAGAGCACAAGUUAGAGGUGGGUGCAUGGUCACAGGUGAAUUAUGUUAAUUAUGUUAACUACAGGAACAUUAACUAAACUAUCUCUUGUAUUUGUAGGAAAUAAAGAAGACCAAAUGAAA